rnacentral:rRNA from 1 species
GACGAACGCUGGCGGCGUGCCUAACACAUGCAAGUCGAACGGAGAUAUGAUUUCGGUUGUAUCUUAGUGGCGAACGGGUGAGUAACGCGUGAGCAACCUGACCUUCAGAGGGGAUAACACUCGGAAACGAGUGCUAAUACCGCAUAAGACCACGACCCGACAUCGGGAUGAGGUCAAAGGAGCAAUCCGCUGAGGGAGGGGCUCGCGUCCCAUUAGAUAGAUGGCGGGGUAACGGCCCACCAUGUCGACGAUGGGUAGCCGAGCUGAGAGGCUGAUCGGCCACACUGGAACUGAGACACGGUCCAGACUCCUACGGGGGGCAGGCAGUAGGGAAUCUUCGGCAAUGGGCGGAAGCCUGACCGAGCGACGCCGCGUGAGGGACGAAGGCCUUCGGGUUGUAAACCGCUUUCAGCAGGGACGAAGUGAAAAUGACGGUACCUGCAGAAGAAGCACCGGCUAACUACGUGCCAGCAGCCGCGGUAAGAGUCACGUCG